rnacentral:lncRNA from 1 species
UUGUGUAGAAGAAGAGAGAAAGUUAUGGAGUUAGUUAUUUUGAAAUAAAUAAUAAUUUAGAGAAAUCUAGAACUUGUUGGAGUGUGCUCCUCCACUUGUAUAAAUAGGGGUGCUUGGCAACAUUUGUAAUCAUCCACAUCAAGAAAACAAAGAGAGAAAACAUUUGUAAGAGAGAGUUCUCAAAAUAAAAUCUUUGUAAACCCUUUCCAAAAUUAUAAAGAGUCUUCUUCUUAAAUCUUUUAGUUGUCUAAUCCCAUCUUCAUCUCAUCGAUAUUGGGUAAUUUUCCCAACAAGUGGUAUCAGAGCCAGGUUCAAACAUAACAUCAAGACCCGUGAGAUUCAAG